CAAAUGUAAAUAGUUUUUGUUUUCGAUUUUCAAAAAUAGUAUUUACGAAUCUAUAGAAGUAACAGGAAUUCCAUGCCAAGGAAAUAAAACUGCUCCUAAUUUUGAUAGUUAUAGUUCUUACGCUGCGGAUGACAAUUGAAAUCACUUGAUCGCAUAAAUGCAAACAAACAUGAGUACAUACUUACUAAUGUAUGUACAGAUAUGAAGAUCGUUUUGUUUACAUAUAUAAAGAUAUCCUUGCGGUGCCAUAGAAAAUAAUAUAGUAAGGAUUACAU